rnacentral:lncRNA from 7 species
AAAACAUCCAGAAUCUGUCAGCACACACUGUUCAGUUCUGCUGCUUUCUCUAUUGCCUGCCUUUGCCCUUUACUUCCACAAAAUCCAGAAUUAAAAUCAUGAUUACAAAGGCAUUGAACACCACACACCAGCACAGAUCUUCAGGAGAAUCAGCAUUCAUGGCAAUUCCAUCAGGGAGGAAUUUAUGAUCUAUCCGUAGAAGACAUGGUCUGCUAACUGAAACACAGACAGCAGCUUCAGAUAGUAUUGCCUUCGGUCUUCUACAUUUAGCCAUUUUUGUUCUGUGUAAUUCAGUACAGCGAGUUCCCAGAGGUGCAUGGAGUAUCGUCUUUGUGCUCAGUCACCAGUGUAUAGCUGUUUGAUUAAGGCAUUGCUUUCCCAGGUAACAUAACAAGUCCAUCUGUCCUAAUUUUUUUUUUUUCUGGAAACUUCGGAGAGGAAUUUCAGAGCUGCACUGGGUGUGAAACUACUUUGAGUUUAUUUAAUUUCCAAGUUCGGACAUCAGCCCUGGUACUUAAGCAUAUGCAUAAGCCUUACUUACAUCUUUUGGAAUUAAUCACAUGCAUAUGUGCUUUUCCUAAAUUAACUUUUAAUUCAUUAAAGAAAAAAAGAGUUUAAAGUAACAAGUGUAAAAGGACUCUUUAUGCAGUCCCCAAAUAACCCAAAAUAUUACUGAGAUGAAGUAGGGAACACUAUGAAGGUGGCCUCUGCACUUUUUAAUAAGUAGACAUGAGAGGAACCCAUUCAGUAUAAAAGGUGACAUUUGUUCUAUAUACACAAAUCUAUUAUGUCAAUCUAGUGGACUUGAGACUGUAAACCUCUGUUACAUGAGUAGGAGGCAUUUCUACUCAGGUGUUGCAAUUCCAGACUGACAGUGCUAUUUUGAUGAAGCUUUAACAAAUCAUUCUACCAUAAGCAACAGCUGCCUUUCUACUUCUCCACGUUGUAGCCACCCAGUCAGCCAUGACCUAUAGCUAUUAAGAGCAUGAAGAGAAUUUUAUGCAAACUGCCCAUAUAGUUCCCCUGGAACUUUUUGUCUGUAAAUGCAAGAUUUCUGAACUUAAUAUGCUAUUAUAAGCAGAAUAAAUAUCUGUCCCCUU